AAAGUUUUAAUAAUCAUGAUUUGGAGUAUUAAUUUUUCAUUCAAAAACAUUGAUAAACAACAACACAUUAAAAAUCUUAUUGCAACAAGUGUUCCUGACACACACCAAUACAGAAAAAAAAUAUUAAUAGGAAAAAACAAAUACUUGAAAGUAUUUUUACGAAAACUUAUAUGAUGUUUAAUUGAGAAAUGAGAGAAAGAAACUCUUUAGUUAUGAGAUAAAAAGUCAGGUUCAAAGCAUAGAAGUUAUAAUUUAUUAUUUGACAACUUAUCAAAUGAGUAUGAAUAUUAUUAAAAAUCUCCUACAAAUCUAAUUGUUCAGAUCUCUUCGGACCGAUUAAAAUGCAAGCAGAUGAGGCCUUGUUAUCGUUUGUGAAAUUACCAGACUAAAUAAAUUAGUAUUAGUAUUAAAAUUCGAAAAUCAAACAAAUCAAUUAAAAGAGAAGUAAAAGUUUGGUAUUCCAAAUUAGACUUAUCCGAUUGAAAAUUGAUGAAUAUUCCUCCGCCACAUGUCCCCUGUACGGCACUAACAAUAGUGUUACAACGAGCUAAUAUAUAUAUAUACACACAAAUCUACCGACAGUUCUCUCAUAAGGAAAAAAAAAAUGGAGAAGAAGAAAAUGGCAGCUAUAGCUAUGGUGUUCAUCAUCCUUUCAUCGGCCAAUAUCGACACGAUCAGUGUUGCUGCUCAAGGUCUCAGUUGCUAUGACAACUGCAACACCGGCUGUGCCGGUCUCCCAUCGGAGGAGUACCUGAUUUGUGAUAACAAGUGCCACGAAAGGUGUGGAGAUGUCUCUUCAUUUCUUGCAGAAAGCAAAAUUUAUGGAAACUUAGUUGAAAGUGUUUAAAUGUAUUGAUUUGGCAAGCUAUCGAGGCUUUAUUGUAGGGAGUUCUACAAAUAAUAAUUUCUUCUUAGUUGGGGAAAAUAAACGUUACUUGUACGUGUAUGUUUAAUUAUUACUAUGAACUUUUAUUUUUUACUUUACUGUAAUAGGAAAUGCAUUUUGUACGAUAAAAGAAAACUAUGUACUGUAUAUGAAACUAUAAUUGUCAGUUCAAUUUGUUAGUUGU